UACGUAGGGACCAAGCGUUGUUCGGAUUUACUGGGCGUAAAGGGCGCGUAGGCGGUCGUGACAAGUCACUUGUGAAAUCUCCGGGCUUAACUCGGAACGGUCAAGUGAUACUGUCGGACUAGAGUACAGAAGGGGCAACUGGAAUUCUCGGUGUAGCGGUGAAAUGGCGUAGAUAUCGAGAGGAACACCUGCGGCGAAGGCGGGUUGCUGGGCUGAUACUGACGGUGAGG
rnacentral:rRNA from 1 species